GCCGUUAUGGCGCAGUUGGGAGCGCGUUAGACUGAAGAUCUAAAGGGUCCCUAGUUCGAUAGCAGUC
rnacentral:tRNA from 1 species